rnacentral:rRNA from 1 species
AGUGAACGCUGGCGGUAGGCCUAACGCAUGCAAGUCGAACGGCAGCACAGGAGAGCUUGCUCUCUGGGUGGCGAGUGGCGGACGGGUGAGGAAUACAUCGGAAUCUACUUUUUCGUGGGGGAUAACGUAGGGAAACUUACGCUAAUACCGCAUACGACCUACGGGUGAAAGCAGGGGAUCUUCGGACCUUGCGCGAUUGAAUGAGCCGAUGUCGGAUUAGCUAGUUGGCGGGGUAAAGGCCCACCAAGGCGACGAUCCGUAGCUGGUCUGAGAGGAUGAUCAGCCCAACUGGAACUGAGACACGGUCCAGACUCCUACGGGAGGCAGCAGUGUGGAAUAGUGGACGAGGGGCGCACGCCUGAUCCAGCCAUACCGCGUGGGUGAAGAAGGCCUUCGGGUUGUAAAGCCCUUUUGUUGGGAAAGAAAUCCAGCUGGUUAAUACCCGGUUGGGAUGACGGUACCCAAAGAAUAAGCACCGGCUAACUUCGUGCCAGCCGCCGCCGUAA